CCUACGGGUGGCUGCAGUGGGGAAUAUUGGACAAUGGGGGGAACCCUGAUCCAGCCAUGCCGCGUGUGUGAAGAAGGCCCUCGGGUUGUAAAGCACUUUCAGUGAGGAAGAACGCCUGGUGGUUAAUACCCAUCAGGAAAGACAUCACUCACAGAAGAAGCACCGGCUAACUCCGUGCCAGCAGCCGCGGUAAUACGGAGGGUGCGAGCGUUAAUCGGAAUUACUGGGCGUAAAGCGCGCGUAGGUGGCUUGAUAAGCCGGUUGUGAAAGCCCCGGGCUCAACCUGGGAACGGCAUCCGGAACUGUCAAGCUAGAGUGCAGGAGAGGAAGGUAGAAUUCCCGGUGGAGCGGUGAAAUGCGUAGAGAUCGGGAGGAAUACCAGUGGCGAAGGCGGCCUUCUGGACUGACACUGACACUGAGGUGCGAAAGCGUGGGUAGCAAACAGGAUUAGAUACCCUUGUAGUC
rnacentral:rRNA from 1 species